GUCUCGGUGGUCUAGUUGGUAAGACACUGCUCUGGAGUUGCGGGGGUCGUGGGUUCGAAUCCCACCCGAGUAACA